rnacentral:rRNA from 1 species
UACGUAGGGUGCAAGCGUUAAUCGGAAUUACUGGGCGUAAAGCGUGCGCAGGCGGUUGUGCAAGACAGAUGUGAAAUCCCCGGGCUUAACCUGGGAAUUGCAUUUGUGACUGCACGGCUAGAGUGUGUCAGAGGGGGGUAGAAUUCCACGUGUAGCAGUGAAAUGCGUAGAGAUGUGGAGGAAUACCGAUGGCGAAGGCAGCCCCCUGGGCCAAUACGUGACGCUCAUGCACGAAAGCGUGGGGAGCAAACAGG